AUUGAACGCUGGCGGCAGGCCUAACACAUGCAAGUCGAGCGAGCGGCGGACGGGUGAGUAAUGUCUGGGAAACUACCUGAUGGAGAGGGAUACCUACUGGAAACGGUAGCUAAUAUCCCAUACCAUCAGAUGUGCCCAGAUGGGAUUAGCUCGUAGGUGGGGUAACGGCUCACCGAGGAGACAAUCCCUAGCUGGUCUGAGAGGAUGACACGCCAACCGGGAACUGAGACACGUGCCCGCCUCGUACGGUAGGACGCAGUGGGGAUGAUUGCACAAUGGGCGCAAGCCUGAUGCAGCCAUGAGGCGUGUAUGAAGAAGGCCUUCGGGUUGUAAAGUACUUUCAGCGUGGAGGCGUUACCCGCAGAAGAAGCACCGGCUAACUCCGUGCCAGCAGCCGCGGUAAUUC
rnacentral:rRNA from 1 species